rnacentral:lncRNA from 1 species
GAUCAGAAGAUACUCUUGCUGGUUUGGAGGCUCUCCUUUUAUAGCUGCAGAAUUUCUCUCCAUCUAAGGUUUUGAAAUCCCUCUUUGAUUUGGUGUUUGACUCCUCUUUUGAUGUUGAUUUUAAUUGCAAUUGGAAUUCCUUGGAUGAGAGACUCUUUCGUGGCUCUUGGUUUUGUGUUGGAAGUGAUUGGAUUGGAUUUGGACUUCUGAAAAUUCGGAUUUCUGUUUUCU